rnacentral:rRNA from 1 species
GGGUCUGAAAGAUGGCGUAAGCUAUCGCUUUUGGAUGGACCCGCGGCGUAUUAGCUAGUUGGUGAGGUAACGGCUCACUAAGGCAAUGAUACGUAGCCGAACUGAGAGGUUGAUCGGCCACAUUGGGACUGAGACACGGCCCAAACUCCUACGGGAGGCAGCAGUAGGGAAUCUUCCACAAUGGACGCAAGUCUGAUGGAGCAACGCCGCGUGAGUGAAGAAGGCUUUCGGGUCGUAAAACUCUGUUGUUGGAGAAGAAUGGUCGGCAGAGUAACUGUUGUCGGCGUGACGGUAUCCAACCAGAAAGCCACGGCUAACUACGUGCCAGCAGCCGCGGUAAUACGUAGGUGGCAAGCGUUAUCCGGAUUUAUUGGGCGUAAAGCGAGCGCAGGCGUUUUUUAAGUCUGAUGUGAAAGCCCUCGGCUUAACCGAGGAAGUGCAUCGGAAACUGGGAAACUUGAGUGCAGAAGAGGACAGUGGAACUCCAUGUGUAGCGGUGAAAUGCGUAGAUAUAU